rnacentral:rRNA from 1 species
AGACCAGUAUGAAUGGCAAGACGAAAGUUCAACUGUCUCCCUAAGUUAAUCAAUGAAAUUGAUUUUUCCGUGCAGAAGCGGAAAUAUAAUUAUAAGACGAGAAGACCCUAUGGAGCUUUAAACAUAUGAUCAAUUGCGUAACAUAAAAUCCAAAAGAUAAAAUAUUUAAUAAAACAAUAUGAUCAAAAUUUUAGGUUGGGGCGACCACGGAGAAAAACAAAACCUCCGAGAUGAAGAGAAUAUCUUAAUUCAAGAACUACAAUUCUAAAAAAUAAAAUAUUUAACAUAAUUGAUCCAAUACUUUGAUCAACGAACCAAGUUACCCUAGGGAUAACAGCGCAAUCCUCUCCAAGAGUCCCUAUCGACGAGCGGGUUUACGACCUCGAUGUUGGAUCAGGACACCCCAAUGGUGCAGCCGCUAUUAAAGGUUCGUUUGUUCAACGAUUAAAGUCCUACGUGAUC